GGGCGCUAGCCAGUGAGUUACGAUGCGAAGGAGCACUUUUUCAAGCAAGGCUCUGCGGGGGGCGACGCCGCGAUUCGUCCGACUUCCCCCGGUGAGAAGGACACCUGUGCGGCGCGGGCUGCCGGGAGGGGCUGCUCGAGCAUUCCGCGGGGGAAUCCCGUUGCAUUGUGGGAGGAGCGGAAGUCCAGGAAGUGGCUCCGCCGCGCUCCGGAGGCGCCGUACGUGCCGCGAGGGGAGCCGCUCGGAGCGCUGUCGCGUGCGCUCCUGGUCGCGCGCCCGUACGGACUGCGAGUGCGUGCCGCGGAGCCGCGCAGACAGAAGCGGCGCUUCAUUAUGCGUUCGGGGCGCGGGCUGCCAUGGCGGGCGCGUUCGCGAUGGUGAGCGCCGCCGGACGCGGCGGCGCUCGGCUUCUCCUCAGCGCCACACUCGUGGUCGCAGCGUUCGGCGCGAGAGCGGUGCGAGCGCAGAAAGGAGACGCCUGCGGGAAUACAGUUCUGGGGCCCCAUAGCGGCACACUCUCCUCCAUACGCUACCCGCAGACGUACCCCAAUCACACGGUGUGUGAGUGGGAGGUGCGUGUGGCCCCUGGCCAGAAGCUCCAGUUCAAGUUUGGCGACGUUGACAUUGAGGAUUCAAACUGCCACUUCAGCUACCUGCGACUCUACAAUGGCAUUGGCCCCGGGAGGACGGAGAUAGUGAAGUACUGUGGACUGGGCCUGCAGGUUCCUGACGUGAUCCAGUCCAGCGGCAACGAAGUCACGGUGCAGUUCAUGAGCGGGACUCACCAGUCUGGACGAGGGUUCCUGCUGUCCUACUCAACAACAGGGCACCCAGAUUUGAUCACUUGCCUGGACAAAGGAAUCCACUUCAUGGACGCCGAAUUCAGUAAAUACUGUCCCGCUGGCUGCUUGAUGGUCUCGGGGGAGGUUUCCGGGACAAUCCCACACGGGUACAGAGAUUCGUCCUCUGUGUGCCUGGCGGGCAUCCACGCAGGGGUGGUGUCCAACGCGUUGGGCGGCCAGAUCAGCGUUGUCACCAGCAAAGGCAUCCCGCGAUAUGAGGUUUCCCUCCGUUUUUCUGUGUUUCUCGGUCAUGAUGCACUGAUGAUGGGCGUUGAAUCUGCGCGUGAACCUCCCGCUUCUGAUCUCCGCUCUCCAGGCUGCUACGGGACGCUGGGCAUGGAGUCGAGCGUGGUUCGUGGCUUCCAGAUCUCCUCCUCCUCCGUGUGGGAGUGGAGCGACGAAAAUGGCCAGACGCACGUGUGGGCGCCGUCGGGAGCUCGGCUGAAGCAUUCCGGCCUUCCCUGGGCCGCCGCCGACAACGACCAGCACCAGUGGCUCCAAGUGGACCUGAAGAAGAAGAAGAGGAUCACAGGAAUCAUCACCACGGGCUCCACCCUCCUUGAGUACCAGUUCUUCAUCUUGGCCUACCGGGUCCAGUACAGCCAGGACGGCAGGCAGUGGCAGGCCUUCAGGGAGGCCGACAGCGACCAGGACAAGAUUUUCCAAGGAAACACCAAUUACCUCCAUGAAGUGCGCAAUAACUUCAUCCCCCCGAUGGAGGCGCGGUACGUGCGCGUCAGGCCCACCCAAUGGCAUCAGCGCAUCGCCCUGAAGAUGGAGCUGCUGGGCUGUCAGCUGCCGACAGGUAUGUUGGACACGGUGGUGAGCGCUGGUUCUGUGGCGCUGACAGCGUUACUUCCUCCGCUGCGGUCUGACAGGACCACCUUCACACCUGGCAUCCGAAAUACCACCAUGACCCCUAGUGACAGUGUGGCGCUGGUGGCAGUGUUGGUGCCUGUCUUGGUCACUGGCCUAUCUUCUCUCAUCCUGAGCCUGUUGUGUAUCUGGCACUGCAGGAACAGGAAGAAGAGCACCAAGGGGGCUUAUGACCUGCCUCACUGGGACCGUACCGGCUUAUGGAAAAGCAUGAAGCAGUUCUUGCCAGCGAAGGUGUCGGAGGGUGACGAGUCGUCUGUGCGCUACAGCAGCAGCGGAGUGAGCCACCUGAGGGGACGUAAGGGUGCCCCUGUGGUGCAGGCCGAACCUGCAGAGUACGCGCAGCCCUUGGUGGGAGGUGUGGUCGGCACACUCGGCCAAAGAUCCACCUUUAAGCCUGAAGAAGGAGGCGACCCGGGUUACGCGGACCCCGACACGUACGACGCUCCUCUCACAGACAUAUACCAUGCGUACGCUGAGCCCCUCCCUGCUUCCGGGGCAGAGUAUGCGACGCCCAUCGUGGUCGACAUUGCAGGUUGCUCGGCUGCUGCGGGAACCCUGGGACAGGCAUCUAUCUCCACCUUCAAAAGGCCUGGCCCUGGGGCCCUCCUCGCAAGGACAGGUAGCGGUCACUCCGGGACGAACGCGCAGUACGACACGCCCAAGACUGCACCCGGACAGGCCCCGCUUACAGAGGACCUGGUCUAUCAGGUCCCCCAGAAUGGUACCCAGAAAGCACAAGAAGAGAGUAGCUGAAGGGAGCUGCAGAAGGAUGGGCAACUCUUCCCAUGACUUCCUGCCUUACCUCUCACCCUCUGACGUUAAUGCGGGCAGGUAGAGGCCGGACGCUCCCACAAACGCGAGAAGACCUGGGAUUGUUCACUGAGAGCACGUAGCCUUAUUUCACAGCGUCACCGACGUGGUAAAUGUGUACACACCGGUAUGUGUGAUCAGUGUAGAGCCUUCGAGGGCAUCACACCAUUCCAGUCCCGUCACUGAAACCAAGCCGAUGAAUGUUCACUGCUGUUUCUGCAGGCACAGCGCCUUUCGCUUUGGUCUCAUCUUUCAUUUUCCUGUAACGUCAAACUGUGAGGUUUUUACAUUCCGACAGAUUUUACUCUUUCUUGUUUUUUAAUCGUUUUCUACAUCGGGAAGCAACACUGAUUAGAUUCAGUCCGUUAGUCGAGGGGUGGGCAGAAUCAGUUUCUGGCCAAUGGGUUUCCUGAUCCUUUCUCUGCUGACUCAGCUCUUUUAUUCCCAUUGAAAUGAGAAUAUUGAGUCCCAUUUCUUCAGCCCUUGUGGACUUUAAUUGUCCAUCCCUGUUUUUGACUGCUUCUUUAAACAAAUAGCGAUCGGCAGCUUUUGUUCUUAUGGCACAUAGAAACUCGCACUUGUAUGUUCUCCAUAGAACACCGGGGUCAUUGGCCGAUUCCCAGCCUUCAUCCUUUUACAUCGCCCUUUCCAGAGGUCAUAUUAGGUGAAGGGGGGGGACCUUGAAUCUCUCAGAUUUUACUAUGGUACUGUUUGAAAAGCUUCCUUUGCUGUUUGAGCAGCGUGCUUUUCAAAUUGGUGUUUGAAGGUAGGGUGGGGGGGGGGGUCACCGCUUGAGUUUCAAAAUGUACUGUAUGCAUGAAAUUUCCAAGGUGACAGUGUUUUCUGGAAGCAUCAGAACACUUAUUUCCUGCUGAAAAGAGUACGGUUCAAUCCAGUCACUGUAGUCAUGCCACCGAGAAAUUCACUCUACUGUUGAGCUGUUGGCUUUGCCUCCUUAUGUGUUUCACACUGAGUGAUCAGUCGCCACAUAACUGUUGUUCACUGUUGGACAUGUUUGUUCUAGAACACUUGUACAGAAGCCAAAAAUUAACUAUUAGAGAUGUUCUAAUUGUGUGCCAAAGUAGUGUGACUGAUACAUAAUGCCAGUUUGUGGCAGUGUUAAUGCCUUUAAUACUUUCUCACAAGAUUAAAAUAUCUCACUAUUAGUUGGUUUGUGCAGCAUGAGGUGUAAUGAGCAUCAUUUGCCGGUGUCAAUGGCAUGUCAGUCAGGUGUUGUAUAUUUAGGUUUUCAGAUCUGAUUUUGCAUGCAAAAAUGCCCACGUAGGGAUUGUCAUUAUUGGAACUGCCAGACUUCAGGUAGUCUACUAGCAAAAAAGGAUGCAACAGCUCUCAAACUGUGAAGCAGUGAGCGAUUUAAUUUGCACAAAACUGAAGAUGCAUUUUGGUUAGUCUUCAUGCUGCCUUCAUUUCCAUUGAUACUGUUUGUGUAACGAUGUCAUAACCAGUCGCAUCCUGUGCAUUGUAUACGUGUCUCUCGUCACGUAAUAUAAAUGCGCUCUGAAGGCAUUUAGCCAGAAUGCGUCUCUUUUUAAAUUGUUUUACAAGGUUUGAGCGCCGUCCAAUCCUCCCCCCCAACUUGCAUUAAGCUGGGAUUCCAGCACCCGAGCGCCUCUUUAAUUGUGGCAUGGUUGUACCAUUUGAAAUGCAGCACACAACUUUAAAUAUGAAAGCGUCUCACUGUGAAUCUACUUAACUAUGAUGUACUCUGGAGGGUGAGGAUAUGUUCAUAAGUGUGUAACCGAUGUGAUUCAGCAGUUGUUAGUCUAGUUAACGGCUAGCUGCAAUAAGGUAUGUACAUAAGCUGGUGGAAAUCAUUGUCAAAAAUGAGACCCUUUCAUUAGCAGUUUUAGAUGUGCAAUGUAUUUGGUCUUCCAAUCACUGACUGUGGGUAGCUGUAAUGAAAAAUGUUUCAACUAAUCAAAUCGCAUGAAUGUACUCCCUGUUGUACCUCUGUGUGCUUUAGUCAGUGGUGUUAGACUGUAUAGAGAGAAUUUAAAAAUGUUUAUUGUAUGUUUAAUAAAUGGGUUGUUGGUUAUACA
ensembl:lncRNA